rnacentral:misc_RNA from 1 species
GAUGAAGAACGUAGCGAAAUGCGAUACUUGGUGUGAAUUGCAGAAUCCCGUGAACCAUCGAGUCUUUGAACGCAAGUUGCGCCCGAAGCCACUAGGCCGAGGGCACGCCUGCCUGGGCGUCACACGCCGUUGCCCCCCCAUCUACUCCUUCGGGAUUGCGGGGGGGCGGAUGAUGGCCUCCCGUGCGCCUAGCCGCGCGGUUGGCAUAAAUACCAAGUCCUCGGCGACGCACGCCACGACAAUCGGUGGUUGCGAAACCUCGGUUGCCCGUCGUGUGCGUUCGUCGCGAAUCGAGGGCUCGAAAAAAUGCUCGGCUCCGGCUGGGCUUUCAACGCGACCCCAGGUCAGGCGGGGUUACCCGCUGAAUUUAAGCAUAUCAUAAGCGGAGGA